AAACGGGGCGGCAUACUACCAUGCAAGUCGGGCGGUAACAGGAAAGCGCUUGCGCUUUUGCUGACGAGCGGCGGACGGGUGAGUAAUGUCUGGGGAUCUGCCCGAGGGCGGGGGAUAACCACUGGAAACGGUGGCUAAUACCGCAUAAUGUCGCGAGACCAAAGUGGGGGACCUGAAAGGGCCUCACGCCGUCGGAUGAACCCAGAUGGGAUUAGCUGGUAGGUAGGGUAAUGGCCUACCUAGGCGACGAUCUCUAGCUGGUCUGAGAGGAUGACCAGCCACACUGGGACUGAGACACGGCCCAGACUCCUACGGGAGGCAGCAGUGGGGAAUAUUGCACAAUGGGCGCAAGCCUGAUGCAGCCAUGCCGCGUGUAUGAAGAAGGCCUUCGGGUUGUAAAGUACUUUCAGCGGGGAGGAAGGGUUGAGCCUGAACAGGGCUGGGCCUUGACGUUACCCGCAGAAGAAGCACCGGCUAACUCCGUGCCAGCAGCCGCGGUAAUACGGAGGGUGCAAGCGUUAAUCGAGAAUGACUGGGGCGUAAAGCGCACGCAGGCGGUCAAUUAAGUUAGAUGUGAAAUCCCCGGGCUCAACCUGGGAACGGCAUCUAAGACUGGUUGACUGGAGUCUCGUAGGGGGGGGUAGAAUUCCAUGUGUAGCGGAGAAAUGCGUUCAGGUGUGGAAGGACACCGGUGGCGUAGGGUGCCCCCCGGGACAACGAGGGAGCUUAUCCGUGUUAGCUCGCCGCGCUCUCACACC
rnacentral:rRNA from 1 species